rnacentral:rRNA from 1 species
CUUUUGAAUUAGGCUCUGAGACGCGCACACACCGCCCGUCACUCUCCCCCCGCACAUAUUUCAAACAUUCCUAAUAAUAUACCAGUCACCACGGGGAGGCAAGUCGUAACAUGGUAAGUGUACCGGAAGGUGCACUUGGACUAA